GGGCGAUGAUUACGGCGGGGUUCCCUAGAUUGAUCAUGGCCUCAAUUGAACGCUGGGGGCAGGCUACCCUUUUAGAAUAGCGGUAGAGAGAAGCUUGCUUCUCUUGAUAGCUGUCGGACGGGUGAGUAAUGCCUAGGAAUCUGCUUGGUAGUGGGGGAUAACGCUCGAAAACGGACGCUAAUACCGCCUACGUCUUACGGGAGAAAGCAGGGGACCUUCGGGCCUUGCGCUAUCAGAUGAGCCUUGGUCGGAUUAGCUAGUUGGUGAGGUAAUGGCUCACCAAGGCGACGAUCCGUAACUGGUCUGAGAGGAUGAUCAGUCACACUGGAACUGAGACACGGUCCAGACUCCUACGGGAGGGCAGCAGUGGGGAAUAUUGGACAAUGGGCGAAAAGCCUGAUCCAGCCAUGCCGCGUGUGUGAAGAAAGGUCUUCGGAUUGUAAAGCACUUUAAGUUGGGAGGAAGGGCAUUAACCUAAUACGUUGGUGUCUUGAACGUUACCGACAGAAUAAGCACCGGCUAACUCUGUGCCAGCAGCCGCGGUAAUACAGAGGGUGCAAGCGUUAAUCGGAAUUACUGGGCGUAAAGCGCGCGUAGGUGGUUCGUUAAGUUGGAUGUGAAAUCCCCGGGCUCAACCUGGGAACUGCAUUCAAAACUGACGAGCUAGAGUAUGGUAGAGGGUGGUGGAAUUUCCUGUGUAGCGGUGAAAUGCGUAGAUAUAGGAAGGAACACCAGUGGCGAAGGCGACCACCUGGACUGAUACUGACACUGAGGUGCGAAAGCGUGGGGAGCAAACAGGAUUAAGAUACCCUGGUAGUCCACGCUGUAAACGAUGGGCACUAGGUGUCGCGGGUAUUGACCCCUGCGGUGCCGCAGCUAACGCAUUAAGUACGCGGCCUGGGGACUACGGCCGCAAGGUUAAAACUCAAAUAAUGACGG
rnacentral:rRNA from 1 species